AUGCCAGUGGACCUCAGCAAGUGGUCCGGGCCUUUGAGCCUGCAGGAAGUGGACGAGCGGCUGCAGCACGCGCUGCAGGUCAAAUACAUCAGGACAGAGGUCGACAAGCUGGUCAAAGUGCUGACACCCACCCAAAUUAAGAACCGGCCUGCCAGUAUUGUGUGGGAUGGCCUUGUUCCAGGUAAACUCUACACCUUGGUCCUGACAGAUCUGGAUGCUCUCAGCAGGAAGGACCCCAAAUACAGGGAAUGGCACCAUUUUCUGGUGGUCAACAUGAAGGGCAACGACAUCAGCAGUGGCAGAGUCCUCUCCAAUUAUGUCAGCUCUGGGCCUCCAGAUAGAUCUGACACAGGCCUUCACCACUAUGUCUGGCUGGUUUAUGAACAGAAUGGGCCACUGAAGUGUGACGAGCCCAUCUUCAGCAACCGAUCUGGAGACCCCUGGGGCAAAUGCAAAGUGGCAUCUUUCCACAAGAAGUACGAGCUUGGGCCACCGGUGGCUGGUACGUGUUACCAGGCGGAAUGGGAUGACUAUGUGCCCAAACUCUAUGAGCAGCUGUCUGGGAAGUAGGGGAAUGCUAGGAGACAGAAACCGUCCUGGAAGUCUCAACCAGUGUUCUCCAGUUCAGUGAUGCAUGUAGA